GCCGUUGCUUAUUCCUAAGGUACCGUCAAAAUUUCGUCCCUUAGAAAAGACUUUUACACCCCGAAGGGCUUCUUCAGUCACGCGGCGUCGCUGCAUCAGACUUUCGUCCAUUGUGCAAAAUUCCUCA
rnacentral:rRNA from 1 species